GGCAGUGCAGCACCAGGCAGCGGCCGCGGCAGCGCUGCGGAGAGCCCGGGGUCCGCCUGGAUGGAGCGCCGCACUUCGCGUUUGUUUGCGGUUCCCGAGGGAGGGACAGAAGUUUCCCCCUUUUCCUUGAGCCCUGCAGCACUGAUGGCAGCACAGAGCCACGGGCAGCAGCAGUCCCUGCAGCAGAACACGGCACACCAGCCCCACUGUGCUGCAAGCACAGAGCCUUCAUCCCGAGCACAGCUCCCCAAACCAAAACCACAUUGCUCCUAAUGCUCCUCUCGGAUGGCAGUUUGGGACAGGCGAGCACUGCUGAAAACAUCUCAUUAAAGGGUUGGAAGGGAAACAAUUUUUAUAGGGGGUGAAGGAAAAGAAGACAAUAAAGGAAUAAACAUUCUUACAAUUCUUCUAGAUACUUGAAGACUGAGACACUUUUGUUUCAUUUCGUUAGCCUUUUCUCCAACAUCCAGUGUUUUCCAGCCCGAGAAAAUAAUUUUCUUUCUAUUUUAUAUUUUUACUGCCUCACCGUGCCUAUAAAUGUUGAGUUCCAGGGAUUUCAUAAUAAUAAAAAUAUCAGCCAGACACAUCAGCACUGUGGAAGUUUUACAAAAUUCUUCUAAUAACGGAUUAAAAUCUUCUGAUGCAGACACUAAAACCCAGCAAUUUAAAUUGCGUUCAGCACUAUCACUUGCGUGCUAGCUCACCUAAUGGGAAAGACUUAGUGCACUGUGACAAGAAACAUCCCAGCUCGAGAAACUUCCUUUGCUAACAGCAGCGAGAAAUAACCCACGCGAGUAAUUUAUAUUACUGCUCUCUCCUCUCCCCGCUAAUCAUUAGCAUGUAUGUUCCAGGCUGGUGUGAAGUGCUGCUGUCUCCUAACAUGCUGCGGAGCUAUCAGCCUUUUCAGUGAGCGUGUGAAUCAUAACGCUGUGUUAGCAUGAAUGUAUCUAAUUGCACGGAGAGGGUAUUUCCCAGCAUUUGCUUAAACCUUCGGAAAACAGCCCCUCGCUUGUCGAUUGUCUGUCAAGAUCAUAGUGGGGAACAAGCAGCAAGCAGGAGCACAAAAGAGACAUAUCGCCGGGAAGGGAUCCGGGGGCUGGUUCAAUGGUACAACUUUAGGAAAAAAUGCUGACAGUGUUUUCUUGUUUAAUUUCUUGUUCACCCAAGCGUGCUGAUCGUUGCUUUGCAGAUCUGGGGCCUGAGGCCAGACAAGCCUUGGAGCUGCUGGCAGGAAGGAGUGAUCCUCCUGCUUGUUGGCUCGGAUUUGGAUAACUGGAGUUGAC
rnacentral:lncRNA from 1 species